rnacentral:misc_RNA from 1 species
GAUGAAGAACGUAGCGAAAUGCGAUACGUAAUGUGAAUUGCAGAAUUCAGUGAAUCAUCGAAUCUUUGAACGCAUAUUGCGCUCUUUGGUAUUCCGAAGAGCAUGCUUGUUUGAGUAUCAGUAAACACCUCAACCUCUUCUUGAUUUUUCAAAAGGAGGGUGGACUUGAGCUAUCCCAACAACCUUUACCGGUCGGCGGGCGGCUUGAAAUGCAGGUGCAGCUGGACUUUUAUCUGAGCUAAAAGCAUAUCUAUUUAGUCCUCGUCAAACAGGAUUAUUACUUUUGCUGCAGCUAACAUAAAGGAUAAUUGUCCUCUGUGCUGACUGAUGCAGGAUUUUACGACACUUUAUGUGUUGUUCAACUCGAUCUCAAAUCAAGUAAGACUACCCGCUGAACUUAAGCAUAUCAAUAAGCGGAGGA